rnacentral:lncRNA from 1 species
CCACGCAAGGUCAAAGUGAGCCUUGGGCUGUAGCUUGGGGCCGGCCUGAAGACUUGAAGGGUUUGGGGCAGGGCAGACCUGUACCUUAGGACCAGCGCGGUGGCGCUGUAGGUGACGACGUCUCGGAGGAGGUCAGCACCGCCCUCCAAAUGUCCAGCUGUAUGAGGAUGUGGUGUCUGGAGCUGUGGCAGCCACCUUGAGAUCAUGAAGUGACAAGCAUGAAGGCAAAAGCCAAUACGCUCAAGGUAGAGUAGGGAGAUGGAAAGAACAUGGAGCCUUGAUGACAUCAGUGUGUCCCUGAAUUAACCACCCUGGAAUAUCCUCCCUCAAGAAACUUGUCAGUUUCCAGGAACCAGGAAUCCAGAAGCAGUUUACCUGGAAGGCUCUGGCUCAAGGUCUUUCAUGAGGUUGUAGUCAAGAUGCUGGGCAGGGUGGCAGGUAUCUGAAGGCUUGACUGGGG